GAUGAACGCUGGCGGCGUGCUUAACACAUGCAAGUCGAACGAAGCAUUUAAGACAGAUUACUUCGGUUUGAAGUCUUUUAUGACUGAGUGGCGGAUGGGUGAGUAACGCGUGGGUAACCUGCCUCAUACAGGGGGAUAGCAGCUGGAAACGGCUGGUAAUACCGCAUAAGCGCACGGUAUCACAUGAUACAGUGUGAAAAACUCCGGUGGUAUGAGAUGGACCCGCGUCUGAUUAGCUAGUUGGUGAGGUAACGGCCCACCAAGGCGACGAUCAGUAGCCGACCUGAGAGGGUGACCGGCACAUUGGGACUGAGACAGGCCCAGACUCCUACGGGAGCAGCAUGGGGGAAUAUUGCACAAUGGAGGAAACUCUGAUGCAGCGACGCCGCGUGAGUGAAG
rnacentral:rRNA from 1 species